CAAAUUUGGCGCUCUCUCUAUCUCUUGCCUGAAAUCAGAAACUUUGAGUGUUGAAAUGAAGGAGAUUCAAAGAAGAAAAGUCCGUAAUAAUACGGAGAAACCUUUCCCUGGAUGCUUGGGAAGAAUGGUAAACCUGUUUGACUUGAGUGCAGGCGUUAAUAGGAACAAGCUUCUGACGGAUAAACCGCAUCGUGAUGUUUCUUUACUUCCAAGAAGCCACUCAGAUGCAGCCAUUGAGUUGAAUUCCUCCCGUGAUGGUCAGAUAGAGGAUGGAUUGGGACAAUCAAUUGGGAAGGCAAAUCGAACACCCAUGAAGAUGCUCAUAGACCAGGAAAUGUCAAAAGAUGCCGAGUCUAAGAUUGCUCCCCCAAAUGUUGUUGCAAAGUUGAUGGGUCUAGAUACACUGCCCGAG
rnacentral:misc_RNA from 1 species